UACGUAGGCAGCAAGCGUUGUUCGGAAUUACUGGGCGUAAAGAGUGUGUAGGCGGUGCUCUAAGUCUGUUGUGAAAUCUCCCGGCUUAACUGGGAGGGUGCGGCGGAAACUGGAGUGCUAGAGGGUGGGAGAGGAAAGCGGAAUUCCUGGUAUAGCGGUGAAAUGCGUAGAUAUCAGGAGGAACACCUGUGGCGAAAGCGGCUCACUGGACCACAACUGACGCUGAUGCACGAAAGCUAGGGGAGCAAACAGG
rnacentral:rRNA from 1 species